rnacentral:rRNA from 1 species
CUACGUGCCAGCAGCCGCGGUAAUACGGAAGGUCCAGGCGUUAUCCGGAUUUAUUGGGUUUAAAGGGAGCGUAGGCGGAUCGUUAAGUCAGCGGUUAAAGGGUGUGGCUCAACCAUGCAUUGCCGUUGAAACUGGCGAUCUUGAGUGCAGACAGGGAUGCCGGAAUUCGUGGUGUAGCGGUGAAAUGCUUAGAUAUCACGAAGAACUCCGAUCGCGAAGGCAGGUGUCCGGGCUGCAACUGACGCUGAGGCUCGAAAGUGUGGGUAUCAAACAGGAUUAGAUACCCUGGUAGUCCACACAGUAAACGAUGUAUACUCGCGGUUUGCGAUAGACAGUAAGCCGCCAAGCGAAAGCAUUAAGUAUACCACCUGGGGAGUACGCCGGCAACGGUGAAACUCAAAGGAAUUGACGGGGGCCCGCACAAGCGGAGGAACAUGUGGUUUAAUUCGAUGAUACGCGAGGAACCUUACCCGGGCUUGAA